GAUGAACGCUGGCGGCGUGCUUAAUACAUGCAAGUCGAGCGGAAAGGUCUCUUCGGAGAUACUCGAGCGGCGGACGGGUGAGUAACGCGUAAGAAUGUACCCCAAAGUGAGGAAUAAGCACCAGAAAUGGUGUCUAAUGCCGCAUGUGCUCUUCGGAAUAAAGCUUAAUGCGCUUUGGGAACAGCUUGCGUCUGAUUAGCUAGUUGGUAAGGUAACGGCUUACCAAGGCGACGAUCAGUAGCUGGUCUGAGAGGAUGACCAGCCACACUGGGACUGAGACACGGCCCAGACUCCUACGGGAGGCAGCAGUAGGGAAUUUUCCACAAUGGGCGAGAGCCUGAUGGAGCAACGCCGCGUGAUGGAUGAAGGCCUUCGGGUUGUAAACAUCUUUUGUCUGUGACGAAUAUGACGGUAGCAGACGAAUAAGGAUCGGCUAACUACGUGCCAGCCGCCGCCGUAA
rnacentral:rRNA from 1 species